CCUACGGUAGGCAGCAGUAGGGAAUAUUGCUCAAUGGGGGAAACCCUGAAGCAGCAACGCCGCGUGGAGGAUGAAGGUUUUCGGAUUGUAAACUCCUUUUGUUAGAGAAGAUAAUGACGUUAUCUAACGAAUAAUCACCGGCUAACUCCGUGCCAGCAGCCGCGGUAAUACGGAGGGUGCAAGCGUUACUCGGAAUCACUGGGCGUAAAGAGCGCGUAGGCGGGAUGGCAAGUCAGAUGUGAAAUCCUAUGGCUUAACCAUAGAACUGCAUUUGAAACUGUUAGGCUAGAGUAUGGGAGAGGUAGGUGGAAUUCUUGGUGUAGGGGUAAAAUGCGUAGAGAUGAAGAGGAAUACUGAUUGCGAAGGCGACCUGCUGGAACGUAACUGACGCUGAUGCGCGAAAGCGUGGGGAGCAAACAGGAUUAGAUACCCCUGUAGUC
rnacentral:rRNA from 1 species